CCAACCCCAGAAGCCUGGCCUCCCUCUUCUCCCAGCACAUGAUCCCACAAAGCCCUUGCUCCCUUCAAUCUCAGGCUUAGAAUUUGCUGCAAGGCCUGGAAGUCCUAAGGGAAGUGAGUACUGGUGCUUCAGCCAGAGCAAACGAGAAAGAAAAGACCACAAAGGGAGCCUGGAAUAGUUGGCCAAGUAGCAAUUUGAGAACACGGGUCGUGGGUUCGCCACUUGCUAAGAGGAAUUUUUACUCUCUGCAACUAAAGCUAUCUGUCUCCUGGCUUUGAUGGCAAGAAGAUCCUCAGGAGUGUUUGGAACAAAAACAGUGGGAGCAAAGCAUGAACGGUGGCCCUGAGCAGAAUGGCCCGUUCCAGGAGGACUUAUUUGCAUUCAGCUUGAAGGCCCGGGAGGUUGGCAUUUCCAACACAAAACAAUUCUGCCCCCUCCCAGUCUCCCCUCAUC